UCUUUUCUUUUCUCUUCUUUUCUUUUGUUAAACUCGGGAACAAGGUUUCUUUUCUCUUCUUUUCUUUUGUUAAACUCGGGAACGCCGCGUUAGGGUUGACACCAUGCAUCAACAUCUAGUAAUAAUCAGAGAAGAAAUCGAUGGUGAUUUAUGCAAUCCGUCACCCUUUACAGUUUCUCUUCGGUGAAUAAAAGGGACCGAUGUUCCAUUUUUCAGUCUAAUUUCGAUUUUUCCCUUGCCCUAGGACAUUAACAGUUGUUUCAGCUCUUUAGGAUAAGACGAUGAAGAUCUGGAAAAUCAUUUCAGCUAGAAAUUCGUUGAUGUGUAUAAGCCUUUUUUUAAACCCUAGAAGAGAAUCUUCGUUUGCCUAGCUUGCCACCAGGUUCCGAUAUUGUACAAAUUUGCAGACCUGGGAAAGCUCUUUGGAAACCCUCGAAGUAUUUGGUUGCCCUCUUGCUGUACAGAUAUGUCGAAAUUCACGAGGGAUCAACCGGUAAAUCACACCAACCUCACUGCAUCAUGUUUUGGUUUUGGUUUUUUUCAAUUCUCAAUUUCAAGAGUUUCGGUAGUAUUUGGAUUUAGAUUGAAAGUUUUUAACUUAAUUUGUUGUUUCUAUUUUUAAUUUGACAUUUGUUUGUUUCACGGAUUAUUUUGGCCAAUAUGGAAAAGUCACAAAGGUUUCCCUCUCUUCGAUAGUUGACGGGACUUUGUAGUAGUUUACCAACAACACUUGCAGUGUGUAAGUUUACAAGUACGCAUAUUGAGUUGCUUUUAUGUCUGAUUUUACUUCUAAAAAUCAUGAUUUUCUUCUUUUAUGUUCCUAGAUAUAGCACUUAAUCAAAAGAAGGGGAAAUAGUAACAUGUAUUCAAUCUGUUCAUGGUCAUGUCUGAGAUGGUAGCUUUCUGACAUUAGCGAAUUCCCUUAUUACCAUCUAUCAUUUUUCCUUUAUAAUAUUGAAUCUUAAUUACGGCUUCACAAUCCCAAAUUACAAGGUGCAUGUACUCUUCCUUUUGAUGAGGCUAAAUUAUAGCAAGGUAAAGUGGUCCAUAGUUAAAGCAAUAGUUACCCAAAUUAACAUUCUUAAUUGAACUUCACUUUGGUUAUAGGUUAUUUUUCAGUUUAAUGGAUAGAGACAUGUAGUCUGACCCAGAUGAAGCAUUAGCACUAAAACAAAAUUACAUCAUUUAAUAUCCUUAUUACUUCUACUUGCUGAUUCUUCCAUUUAGAAAAAUCAAAAUUAGUAAAAAGUCCAGUUUCCCUAGAAACUCAUAACUGUAGCUCCAAAUGACAGAAUAAAGAAGUUGGAGCAAGGUGCAAGAAGAUUAGCUAAACCAAUGAAUUAUGUUGGAGCUGCAACUGUAGAGUAUUUGUAUAUUAUGGAAACUGGGAAUUAUUACUUUUUGGAGCUCAAUCCACGUUUACAGGUGAAAUUUUUUAAUUCUUAAACAGUGAAUAAAUGUUUACAUCCAAGAGUUAUCAAAGAUUUAAUGAAAUGCAUAUACCCUUUUGGAGAAUUUCUACAUUUUUUUAGGUUGACCAUCCUGUUACCGAGUGGAUAGCAGAAAUUUACCUAUGUGUUGCACAAGUUGCAGUUGCUUGAAUUCAAUACAAUUAUAUUUGGUUGUUUUUGUGAGUAGGUUUCCAACUAUUUCUUUCCAUUUUGUAGUAAAUCAAAUUAUAAAUCUAAAUAGGUAAAUAUGCCAUGGUUUUCCUUGACAAGAAAUGGAAUGGAAUGGAAUUUAAUUCCAUCCCGUUCAUAUUUUGUUUUUCCUUUCGAAACCGAUCGUAGGAAUUGGAUCACUAAUUAUGUUAGAUGGUUAAAUUACCCUUUAUUGAUUUUUUUCUCCGACUUCUGCAGGGUUCAGAACAUGAAGUAUAUUUACAAUAGUUGUUUGGUAUGUAAGAAGAGUAAUGACACUACAAUUUGUUAAAGGACAGUCUUUUGGAUAACAUUGGUAACAUUGAUUAUAUGUACAAAAAAAAAGUAAAUUGCUAUUUAUAAUACACAAAUAAAUAAAAGUAGUUUGGUAUUUAUUACAGAGUGACAAAUUGACUCAAUGUACCCUUGUGGGAUUUCAAAAUUUUCCUAUUCCUUCUAUCAGAUUGAUUUCCACUUAGUUCUUUGGGUUUAGUUGUACCGAAUACAUAUCCGAUCCCCGCAAACCGGGGAUCCUUCACUAGUUCUAAUUAAAAGUUAUAUAUUAUAGUUUUGCUUGGGGUAGUUAUUUGUAGGAGUUCACCUACGAUGAUCUCAAGGAUACAUGGAACAAAAUAAAUAAAUAUUUAUCACUACCUGAGCCUCGUCAAUCAUUUAAAUACUCGUUGUUAGGAUUUACGGCGCCAUUCAGGAUAUGGAUUUAUGAGAUGCUUCCAUUUGUUCGAGGUUGUGGUUAUGCGUUACGUAAAAACAAAGAUACACCUUAGAUGAAGCAUUGGAGUGCAACCAAAAAGUUGAAAUGGGUUGAUGUGAACAUAAUUUUUGAUGCGACAAAGGAGGGACGAACACCAAGACAUAACAUGACACUGAACGAUGAUGAGAGAAGAUCUUCUUAUUAUAUGUCAUGUCAAAAGUAUGUGUAUGGUGAACCUAAUGGGUUAUGAGAAUAACAUCAUUCCUAUGGUGUACAUGCAACCCUAAUUGCUUUGAUCUAGGUUUUUCUAAAUUGAACAUAUAACUAUGAAUACCAAAGCAACAAACCCUAAUUUAGCAUGC